rnacentral:rRNA from 1 species
ACUCCUGCGGGAGGCAGCAGUGGGGAAUAUUGCACAAUGGGCGCAAGCCUGAUGCAGCGACGCCGCGUGGGGGAUGAAGGCCUUCGGGUUGUAAACUCCUUUCGCUAGGGACGAAGCUUUUUUGUGACGGUACCUAGAUAAGAAGCACCGGCUAACUACGUGCCAGCAGCCGCGGUAAUACGUAGGGUGCGAGCGUUGUCCGGAAUUACUGGGCGUAAAGGGCUCGUAGGUGGUUUGUCGCGUCGUCUGUGAAAUUCUGGGGCUUAACUCCGGGCGUGCAGGCGAUACGGGCAUAACUUGAGUGCUGUAGGGGUAACUGGAAUUCCUGGUGUAGCGGUGAAAUGCGCAGAUAUCAGGAGGAACACCGAUGGCGAAGGCAGGUUACUGGGCAGUUACUGACGCUGAGGAGCGAAAGCAUGGGUAGCGAACAGGAUUAGAUACCCGUGUAGUCCCAUGA